UAAGGGAGACCUACACCCCUCAGAAAUCGAAAAACACAAAGUUUUAUAGAUACUGAGUUGGUCACGCCUUAGGUCGGUGGCAGAGACUUGCAAGAGUUGAAAGCUUUCAAACUAUGAUUUGGUUCAAAAUGGGCUAUUAGCUCAGGUGGUUAGAGCGCACCCCUGAUAAGGGUGAGGUCCCUGGUUCGAGUCCAGGAUGGCCCACCUGAAAGUAAUUAGUAAUUAGUAAUUGCUAAUUCGUAAUUAACUACGAAUUAAGAAUUACGAAUUACCAAUUAUAAUCUGGGGGUUUAGCUCAGUUGGUAGAGCGUCUGCUUUGCAAGCAGGAUGUCAGCGGUUCGAGUCCGCUAACCUCCACCUGUGGUGAUUGCCGUUGAUAAAAAUUGUGAGAAACCAGCAACAUGACAUAACUGUCAGACUGCUGAGUGUAUUCUCAGCCAGAACCUUGAAAACUGCAUAGUAACGCGAAAUUAGCAGGCAGACACAGACAUACCGUAAGGAUGUGGUUGUGAAUGCAAUUAACACCAAAUGAAUUGAGU
rnacentral:tRNA from 1 species